AUUGAACGCUGGCGGCAGGCUUAACACAUGCAAGUCGAGCGAGCGGCGGACGGGUGAGUAAUGUCUGGGAAACUGCCUGAUGGAGGGGGAUCACUACUGGAAACGGUAGCUAAUACCGCAUACCAUCAGAUGUUCCCAGAUGGGAUUAGCUAGUAGGUGGGGUAAUGGCUCACCUAGGCGCCGAUCCCUAGCUGGUCUGAGAGGAUGACCAGCCACAAUGGAACUGAGACACGGUCCAGACUCCUACGGGAGGCAGCAGUGGGGAAUAUUGCGCAAUGGGGGCAACCCUGACGCAGCCAUGCCGCGUGAAUGAAGAAGGCCUUCGGGUUGUAAAGUUCUUUCGGUGGCGAGGCGUUAACUACAGAAGAAGCACCGGCUAACUCCGUGCCAGCAGCCGCGGUAAUUC
rnacentral:rRNA from 1 species